rnacentral:rRNA from 1 species
GUCGAGGAUCAUUCGCAAUGCGCGAAAGCGUGACGAUGCGACGCUGCGUGGAGGAUGACGGCCUUCGGGUUGUAAACUCCUGUCACCGGGGAAAAACGGUCCCGCGGCGAACAGCCGCGGGAGAUGAUGGUACCCGGGGAGGAAGCCACGGCUAACUCUGUGCCAGCAGCCGCGGUAAUACAGAGGUGGCGAGCGUUGUUCGGAUUUACUGGGCGUAAAGCGUGCGUAGGCGGCGGGGCGUGUCGGACGUGAAAGCCCGGGGCUCAACCCCGGAACGGCGUCCGCGACUGCCUUGCUAGAGCGCAGGAAGGGAGAGCGGAAUUCACGGUGUAGCGGUGAAAUGCGUUGAUAUCGUGAAGAACACCGGUGGCGAAGGCGGCUCUCUGGAAUGUGGCUGACGCUGAGGCACGAAAGCGUGGGGAGCAAACAGGAUUAGAUACCCUAGUAGUCC